UAGAAGAUAGACGGUUUUGAGCAUGUGAAAUUAAAGAAACCCCUAAGUCGGAGAAGAUGGACGGUUUUGAAAACAAAGUUUUGAAAGAAACUUCGAGAAAUUGUUUGAAAACCUUAAAAUAAACAUAUAUCUAGAAUAGAUCUAGAGAAAUUAGGAGAACCUUGAAAGGCUAGGGUUUCAGAAGAAACCUAGAGGCGAGAAAGGCCUGGAAAACGUCUGAUCUGAGUUGGAUGAGUAAGAGAUAGGCUCAUAGGACCAGGACAUGCCGGAGCAACGUCGAAGAUGGCCGUGAAACUCGAAUCGGCAAAGAUCUGAUGGAAAUCCUUCAAGGUCAGACCUUGAAUCUUCAAUUAGAUGAUGUAAAGAGUACGUGGAGGUGAGUACAGGUCACCCAGGGUUUGGGACACCAAGGAUUCCGGUGAAACGGGGUGGAAACCAGUGAGGAAAGAUUAGGGUUUCGGUGAGGGCUAGAGAUAGUUUGAGAGACGAAGGGAGUUCAGAGGUGAC
rnacentral:lncRNA from 1 species